rnacentral:rRNA from 1 species
UACGAAGGGGGCUAGCGUUGCUCGGAAUUACUGGGCGUAAAGGGCGCGUAGGCGGAUAGUUUAGUCAGAGGUAAAAGCCCAGGGCUCAACCUUGGAACUGCCUUUGAUACUGGCUAUCUUGAGUUCGGGAGAGGUGAGUGGAACUGCGAGUGUAGAGGUGAAAUUCGUAGAUAUUCGCAAGAACACCAGUGGCGAAGGCGGCUCACUGGCCCAUAACUGACGCUGAGGCACGAAAGCGUGGGGAGCAAACAGGG